UACGUAGGGUGCAAGCGUUAAUCGGAAUUACUGGGCGUAAAGCGUGACGCAGGCGGUUCUGUAAGACAGAUGUGAAAUGCCCGGGCUUAACCUGGGAACUGCAUUUGUGACUGCAUCGCUGGAGUGCGGCAGAGGGGGAUGGAAUUCCGCGUGUAGCAGUGAAAUGCGUAGAUAUGCGGAGGAACACCGAUGGCGAAGGCAAUCCCCUGGGCCUGCACUGACGUUCAUGCACGAAAGCGUGGGAGCAAACAGG
rnacentral:rRNA from 1 species